GGUCCUGUAGCUCAGUUGGUUAGAGUGUUGGUCUAAUAUGCCAAAGGUCAUGGGUUUCAAGCCCCGUCGGGACCA
rnacentral:tRNA from 1 species